rnacentral:rRNA from 1 species
UACGUAGGGGGCAAGCGUUGUCCGGAAUCAUUGGGCGUAAAGAGCGUGUAGGCGGCCCGAUAAGUCCGCCGUGAAAGUCCAGGGCUCAACCCUGGAAUGCCGGUGGAAACUGUCGGGCUGGAGUCCGGAAGAGGCGAGUGGAAUUCCUGGUGUAGCGGUGAAAUGCGCAGAUAUUAGGAGGAACACCGGUGGCGAAGGCGCUGCUCUGGGCCGAAACUGACGCUGAGGAGCGAAAGCGUGGGUAGCAAACAGG